rnacentral:rRNA from 1 species
AGAGAGCGGCGUACGGGUGCGGAACACGUGUGCAACCUGCCUUUAUCUGGGGGAUAGCCUUUCGAAAGGAAGAUUAAUACCCCAUAAUAUAUUGAGUGGCAUCACUUAAUAUUGAAAACUCCGGUGGAUAGAGAUGGGCACGCGCAAGAUUAGAUAGUUGGUGAGGUAACGGCUCACCAAGUCAGUGAUCUUUAGGGGGCCUGAGAGGGUGAUCCCCCACACUGGUACUGAGACACGGACCAGACUCCUACGGGAGGCAGCAGUGAGGAAUAUUGGACAAUGGGUGAGAGCCUGAUCCAGCCAUCCCGCGUGAAGGACGACGGCCCUAUGGGUUGUAAACUUCUUUUGUAUAGGGAUAAACCUUUCCACGUGUGGAAAGCUGAAGGUACUAUACGAAUAAGCACCGGCUAACUCCGUGCCAGCAGCCGCGGUAAU